CACUGCAGUGUUAUCUCUGCCUUUUCCCCUUCUGUCUCAGCAAAGGGAAGAGGGAGCCUUUACAAACUCUGUGGGGGAGGAAGACACCCGUUUCCCACUUCUGGCCGGGGAAGAGGCCAUCUAUCCCGACGUUAACUCUGAAAUCUCUCACGCUCGGAGCGGAAUGCCACCACCCCGCUACAGCCCUCUUGGUGUAGGCAUUGAAUGUCAUUGCUGCCUUUUAGGCUGUGAUGGCCUGAUUCUGAAACACCACGAGAGGAUCUGGUCUCUUGGUGUCCAGUCGUCUUUCGGAGAAGGAGGCAAUCCAGUUCCUUCUCUUGCCCCCUUGACCUGCUCCUCCUUGAGGGUGUAGAAGUAGAUCCCUUCAUCUGUAUGUCUGCCCUUUGCUAGAGGGUUUGAAGUUUCUCAGUCCCUGUGCCCUCUCCCUACUUGCAUUUAUCCCUACGUUUUUCAUUAGAAAAUGGCAAAAAGGGCAAAAACAAAUGUGUGUCCUUUCGCUCAUCACAUAGUGAACCUUCCACUUCUAAAGCCAUGUAACCUCAGGUUUGGUAGGCAAGGGCGAGCCGGACACUGAUAUUGAUGGCUAGGUGAAUCCUGAGGGACAACAGAUAGGAGGGUGGAAGAAGGGGGGCGGGGAGAGAGGAGAAAGGGAGGGGUGUGUUCAGUGACUGGCUCCCAGCCACCUUUUUCUUUUUAACAUGAGGAAGGCGGGGCAGACCAGAGGCUUCUCUGUAGAACCAGUCAAGCUGGUUUUGAGCAGCCUCGGCCUAUUUUCCCCUGUGUUCUUUGGGAAGUUGGCCAUACAAAGGUCUGCCUCCUCUGGGGCUCUGCUCAUUGAGGUGUGAGUCUGGAUGAGGUCUGUAAACACCCCCAUUCUCCCUCAUUACUGAACGGGCCUCUGAGCACGAGUGGGCUUUCUCUACACCCAGUGCUGUUCAAGGCAACUUUGUCCUCCGCACCUGUCACUGGAAACUCUAAGAUACAACUCCUUUCCUUGGACCCCCUUUGCAAGUCACAGCUUGGCCAAAGGCCCUCCAGCCUGGCCAGGGAAAAGCGAUUGGGUUUGUGGUUUAUGGAUCGGGAACUGACUCCUGGCUCUUGUGAUCUGGCUGCUAAAUCCACUGAGGCCCCAGUCCUUUUGGCUUGAUGCAGUGGGACUGUCUGUCCAGGCCUGCUGGGGAAGAAAAAAGGAGAGAGAAUAUAGUUUUUGGUCUUUGGCAGCUCAGGAGGUUAACAGUUUAAGUGUGUUCCUGAUCAGGUACCCGUAGGAAAGGUGGGAGUCAUCAGUCACCACGUGCUGGCACUUCCUGAACAGCAGCAGGAAGCCUUUCUCAGGGGAAAGACAUAGGAUUCUGAGGCUCCUCUGACCAUCAGAGCUACUAAUACAGCAGGAUUGUUUUCCCAGUCCCCCAGUAAACGGAAAACUCCCAUGUCCGAAAGUUUGGUGAUUAAUGAGUGAAACCACCUGCAAACAUAGUUCCAGCCCUUGCCCUUGCCCUUGCCCUUGCCCUUGGGGGGCAGGUUGCUUCUGUCACUGCUACGAUGAUCUACUCAUUGCUUCUCUUGAGCACCAUUUCACUGAGGGUUUUGGUUACUGAUACUCUGUGUAAAGGGGGGCUCCUUUUCCUGCACCUUCUUUAGACCCAAGGAUCUGCUGGCCCUCCCUUACCCCCUAUCACUCCCCCCCACCCCCCACCCCUGCCAGAUGGCCAUCAUCGGAGUGUCUUUGCAUGUGGUGUUGGAUGUGCUUGUGACUUGUUGCUUCGUUUGGGCCCACAAGUGUUUGAAUGACUGGUUCUGUAGUCACAGGAAGUGGGGCCCCAUAGGCCUGCUUGGUCUAGCAAUAGCAUUCUAAUUGAGUUGAGCUUAUGGUGGAGUGGAAAGGAGAUCCCAGCACUUGGGGACUUCUAAUAAGUGGUAUGUUCUGGUUAAAGCAGGCUCUGCAGCUUGAUUCCCCUGUGCUGGAAUCUUGGUCAGCCUCUACUGUGACCCUGGGCUUACCUAAUUGUUCCAGGCCUGUUAGCUCACCUGUAAAAAAAGGAGUAAUGAUAGUCCCUAUCUUGUAGGUAUAGUUGUUGUGAGCAUCAGAGAAGUUAACGAUUAUAAAACACUUUAAAACAACACCUGGCAGGACGUAACAAUCCUCAUGAUCACCGUUCUUAGUUGAGCGACUUGGUGGGUUUUCUCUGAACACCAUACAACUCCAGGUCAGUAUGCGUUGGAAAUUCUCUGUAAUUGAUUGAAAGAAUCUUGGUUUCUUUUAGUCGUUAGGGUCCCUCAGAUGCUUUUUCCAGCAUUAAAAAAAAAUUUGUGGUUGUUGAUUUUACUUUAUUUGUUGAAGCUAGCCAGCUAUCUGAAUAGAAUGCUUUUGGAAAGGUUUAUGUGCUAUUGAGAUCAUUUUAAAAAAUGGGGGUGCAUUUAUUUACAAGAUAUCAAUAUCAGGUGAUUUUAUUGAUUAACAGAACGAAACAACCCAAAACACUACCUUCUGCCUGCCCAUACUUCUGUGUCGUGAAUGGUAAUGGUGGUGGUGGUGUUGUGUGUGCAGCCUCAUCAAGGGAGGAUCCAGAUCCAAAGUCAGCAGACCAUGGGUUUUUUUCUGAGUGCUGGGAUCCAGCCGAUCGCAUGGGAUUUUUUUCCAUGUUCCUUUCUUCAGGUGCAGUAUUUACCCUUUGGCAACAGGAGAGAGAAAGCUCCCUGUUUCUCUUAAAGACCACAUGGGAACUUAGCAGCUAAUGAUUUUAGGUUCCUUUUUCACUAGCAAAGAGGCCUUCAGGGGCAAGCCCUUGUUAUCUCUGUUGGCUUCUCUGCAGUGAGAAGAAAGCCUCCCCAUUGUGAGUCCUGGAAGGGUCACAGUCAUUUCUCGGCUGCCCCUGUGAGUUUGUGGACUUUGAAUCUUGGGCUGAGAUUUUGGUCUCGGUUGGUUCCUUGUUUAUCUUUGUCUCUCUUGCGGCUCCUAGAGCCUGAGCGCCUGGUCAGAACAGCAAGUAACUUGCUUAGUUUUUUCACACUGCAACUGCAGCCCAGGAGAAAGGUAACAGUGUCGCCUCAGCUCAUCAGGGAAUGUUUCUUUGACUGUGUUUUCCUCUUUCUUUUGACCUCUCUGCUGACUUAUCUCACUUCCUUUUUUUUUUUUUUUUCUGUUUGGUUUCUUUGAACUCUGUUCCUUCAUUACCGCUGUCCAUCUCGGGUUUUCAUCUCUGUCCCCCUCUGCCUUACCUGUUUCUAUGCCUCUUUUGUGGCAUGGCUCAGGAGAGGAAUUCUGAUAGUCUGAGAUCUCCUUCGUGUAUAGAAUCCCAGUACCACCCAGUCCUUUCUCCUGUUCCUCUGAUUUCUGUAAAGUUAGGGAUUUGCAGCUUUAGCACACAUUUUCUUUUUAUGUCUCUGGAGCCACCUUCCUUAGUAAAGCCAGGCCUGGCGAUCUGACAGCUUAUUAGGGUCGGCAUCCUAGUUUCCCUGGUGAUAGGGUCUGAGCCAGUUCUGGGCCGUUUCCUCUGGCCUAUCCGGAAUGCUGUAACGCUGGACCCUGUCUUGGGAGGGAUCUGAGGUGGCACUUGUGAAUUUUGGCAAUGCGAUAUUGAAUGUGGUCCCCAAAGUGUGGUUUGAGGACCCUGGGGCUCCCUGAGGUCCAUUCAGUGGUACACGAAAUCAAAGUGAGUUUCAUCAGAACAUGAACGCAGCAUCUGCUUUUUACCAUUCUGGCUCUGUCCGUACACAGUGGAGUUUUCCAGAGGCUGAAUGAUGUGUGCUGACAUCAUCACUCUUGGCUAAUGAAAUGUGUGCUUUUGUAUUCUUGUGUUUUCUAGAAUUUUUAAGGUAGUCCUUUAAGGUAUAAAUAGAGAUGUUUUCAGUGAUGCGCUCAGUUUGUUUUCAGUACUUCUCCGGGACUCUUACUAUCUUUCUUCAGUUGUGCCUGCUCUAAGUCCUGUAAACCUCGUUAUUGUCCUGGAAAUCAUUAGUUUGAUAUCCCACCAAUUUCCUGGCAUCUUUGAGGAAACACAAUAAGAUGGAUUGUUGACUUUAAAAAGGGAGAUUAGAAGACUUGCAACCUCUGUUUACUGAAAUGGACAUGUCAACAAGUGAAUGGGAGGAGUCUGAAGAGUCUAGGCAAAACCGUAAAUAAGAAAUUAGAAGAGAUGACACUGUAACGAGAGCUAUCUUCUCCUCAGCUUUAUAGAUGUUAAUAACGCACUUUAUUACGUCUUACGCAACUGAACACAGUUCAGGUAGUGCUGUAGUGCCAGUUCAGGUGCAUCAUCAUGUCAAGACCGAUCAUUCAAAGUUGAAAGAAAAAGGAAUCGAGAACUUUUGGUGUGUAUACACCAUGAGCUCUUUAAAAGCCAAAAUUUGCUCCAGCUUUUCAACCUAGAAGUGAAAAAAAAGUCACUGACUCUUACAGGACAAGUUCGGACGUUCUUUGGCUGGAAAAGCCCACCCAGUAGCCGAGAGACUAAGAAGGUCUUGAACGGCAGACGUUGCCGAACGCCCGCUGGGUGGAGAGUCCGUGAGAUGCAGGGCAGUGCCGCUUUGUGUGUACCACGACUCGUCGAAUCAAAGGUUUAGGUACGAAUGUGAAGACUGAGUUCACAUCUUGUUUACAGAAUUGUACUUUUGCCUUACAAACGAGAUUUACAGACGUGGCUCAACUUGUGUCAGCACCAACUACGCUUCAGAGAAUUUUCCUUUACGUGAACGCUCAGCAGUGAACGCGAGUAGCGAUAAAUAUGCAACGGGUUGAAUAACUCUCUUGACUUUCAUGGUUCAUCCUGGAAGAACUUCGUUUCCGUUUGCACUGUUGCACAGAAGUAAUGGCAGAGAAAAUCGCUGGCGGCGUAACGUAAAUCAAGGCAGUGGCACCAAACUCUGCUAGCGAUCGUAGUCGUGAACUUCUCUCCUGCUAGACACUUGUGGUUUAAGGAGGGGAGGGGCAUUUUCACUUGAGUGUGCCCUAAAAAUUAUUAAUUUUUAUUGAGUCUCAACCCUCUAAUAAAAGCCUCUUUAAUAUUUUGAGUGAUGAAACGCCAAGUAUCUAUGGGGCACUGGUGCCGUCUCCCAUCGUACAGUGACGGUCUUGAGAAAACGUGCUAGUGUGUUGGAGCUGAACCAGUUGCAUGGAUCAUCAUCUCAACUUGAGAGAUCAACUACAGUUAUUCACACUUGAGUAUUUAGUGGACAUUUUCUUGAAAGUGAGCGAAGUGAGUCUGUCACCGUUGCCAAGGAUAAAAGUCAAGCUUUCAAGCAAAAAUGAGAAUUUUCAAAAACUUGGAUUUGUCGAAGACGUUUUUGACGAGAUCAGUGGUAAAAUUAGUGGAAUGUGAUCUUUUGAUAUUGUAUGAAAUGUCAAUAUUUGGAAAUUCUGUAUAAUUCAGUGAAGGCAUAUUUCCCAGAUUGCCAGUAGGUAAAAGAGCCAUUCAAAGUGCAAGAUGACCAGUGUAUUUUAACAUAAAAAGUACACAGCAGAUUCAUUGAUAGGAGCGCUAGGGGGCUCAGUCGGUUGGGUGUCUGACCCUUGAUUUCGGCUCAGGUCAUGAUGUCACGGUUCGUGAGAUUGAGCCCCAUGUUGGGCUCUGCGCUGAGAGCGUGGAGCCUGCUUGGGAUUCUCUCUCUCUCUCUCUCUCUCUCUCUCUCUCUCUCUCUCUCUGCUCCUCCCCCCAGCCCCAGAAUAAAUAAGUAAACUUAAAAAGAAAAGAUUCAUUGAUAAAAUUGCAGAUUGCAACUAGCUUUUAAAAACUACUACUUUUGAGUUUGGGUCUGGUGUCAAAGAAGAAAAUUCUGAAAAGCUAUUAAACUCCAUUUUCCAGCCACAGGUCUAUAUAAAGUGAGAUUUUUCUUCAUAUCUUACAACUGGAGCAGCAGAUUGAAACACAUCGGAUGCGGAAGCAGAUAUAAGAAGUUGGUGCUCUUUCAUUAAGCUAGACAUUAAAGAGAUGUACAACAGUGUAAAACAGUGCAGCUUUUGCCAUGAAUUUAAUUUUGUUUUUGAAAGUACGGGUUUGUUUUUUUUUUUUUUUUUGUAAAAAAAAUAGGUUGUUUGUAUAAACACGUAACGGGUUUAUUGUUUUGAAUGAAUUAAUAAAAAUAUUUUUUAAAUCACCA